rnacentral:lncRNA from 1 species
ACAGGUGCAAGCUUAUCGCCGACACAUAAUACCUCUCACACAAAGAUAAGAAGUACUAGAUGCCGCAGGCAUAAGAUCGCCACAGACACAUAAUACCACUCAUGAGAGAUAACUUAUUAGACCCUCAAAAAACUGCCGAGAGUGCAUGCCACAAGCACAAGCUCGCCAUCGGCAUAUAAUACCUCUCGCACGAAGAUGAGAAGUGCUAGAUGCUACAGACACA